rnacentral:rRNA from 1 species
UACGAAGGGGGCUAGCGUUGCUCGGAAUCACUGGGCGUAAAGCGCACGUAGGCGGAUCUUUAAGUCAGGGGUGAAAUCCCAAGGCUCAACCUUGGAACUGCCUUUGAUACUGGGGAUCUCGGGUCCGGAAGAGGUUGGUGGAACUGCGAGUGUAGAGGUGAAAUUCGUAGAUAUUCGCAAGAACACCAGUGGCGAAGGCGGCCAACUGGUCCGGUACUGACGCUGAGGUGCGAAAGCGUGGGGAGCAAACAGG